UGUCGAGCGGAGCGCUCCGGCGAGGAAGGAGGGCUGGGAUCAUGUAUUUAUAGCGGCACGUGUAACAAAACCUGCCCGUGCGGGCGGGCGAGGGCUGCUCGCUGCAAUUCGCAGCACGGGGAAGUCAAUCCCGAGCUGAUUCGUUUCAGCCCCUCUGUCAGAGCCCGCUGCCUCCGCGCCCCGCUCUGCGGAGCUCCCACCUCCUCCCCCCUCAUCCCUCCGCGGCUGUGCAGGGACUACGCGUGGGUCGGGCAGGUGGGGAGAGGCGACCAGCUCCUCUCACAAAAUAAUUAAUUAAUUAAUUAAUUAAAAAUAGUAAAAAUAAUUCUAGUCGGAGGGAGGACAGCUCGCAGUGAGCUUCGGACCUCCGGCAAAGAGGGGCUGCCCGGGGGGGGGCGGCACCGCACUCAGUUCGGGGGGAUCGAAGCCGCCGCAGGCAGCGUUCAGUCGGUCCGUUCCUUUUUACUCCCUUAGAUCUGGGAUCUCGCCUAUAGUCCGUUGAGACACUGACAACAGAAGCUGCGAAGAGAUGGAGAUGCGAGAUAAACCCGUCGGGCAAUCUCAUUACAUGGCAACGAGCGAAGAGCCCUCCUUGCAAUCGACUCGAGAUAACGAGGCUGCCUGGAGGAACGAGCGAAGCUCAGAUAUUUACUUCUUUUCCUAUUAAAUAAACCUCAUGACUGCAUUGAC